GGAAAUUUGUAUUUUAGUGAAUGAAAUUCACUUAAAAUUUCAAAGGAAAUUAUUUUAAAAGAAUUUGUAAAUAGGAAAAUAUAAUUUAAAAAAAAAAUAAUAAUAAAUAAAAGAAAUUUAAGCUUAAACCGGUUGCGGUAUAAAAGUUAAUUCCGAAUUUUAAAAACUAACGUGUCUGAUUACAAACAAAAAAAAAAAAGAGUCAUAUUUUAGCAUCCUGGUCUGUUGGAGGUUUUGUUAAACUGUGGAUUAUAUAAAACAGUUCAAAACCAGGACACUAAAAAUAACUAAUAACUAACUAUAGAUGUUUUAUUUGCAUCAAUAUCAGCCACAAAGAGGAUUACUUUUAAAGCUUUAAAACUACCACAGAAAAAGGAAUAAUAUUAACUCCCAUCAAAACCACAACAGAAUAAAGUAAAAACUUUUCCAAAUCGAAAAAAUCGGGCGCGUCUCAUAACGAUCGAUCUCUUAAAAAAGUGUUGAAAUUACGGUCGGUAUGCAGAACAAACAAGUAAUAUUUUUAAAAAUGUCGCCUUACAAAUGCUCGAAGUAAUAAAACAGUUAUAAAUUUUAAAAAAAUCAAGUGUUUUAAAUAAAAAAGUAAGUAUUUAAAAAAAAUUGAGUUUUUAACAAAUAAUCUAAGAAAAAAACCGAAAAAGUAGUGUUUUCUAAAUGUGGACAGUGGAAAAAACCAAAGACCCAGAAAUUAACAACCAAACGUGUUAAGUGCUAAACAACAAUUAAAUCAAACACUUAAAAAAAAUAAAAGAAAGAAAAAAACAAGAAAAAAUUUGAAAUAUUCUUGCUUUGCAAACGAAAAAACGUCCAACAACGACCAACAACACAGCACGAAUAAAGAAUCAAAAAAAAUGGCACAAUCAAGAAAACAAACAAUUCAUGUGAAACCCAUAUUCAGAUACAAAAUACACACGCAAACACAAACACACACACAGAUACUUAAAUAUGUAUCUAGCAAAGCUACAACAAAUACCACUUUAACGCUUUGUAGUUUUACCAAGAGUUAAACUACAACAGAAAAGCCACACAAAUUCAUUUAUGAACAUAUUCAGACAAACAUGAGUGUAAAAAUUGUAUGUAAAAUGGCAAAAUAAAGGUGUAUACAACAUGGUUGGUGGUGGUGGUGUUGUCGAUGAUGAAUAAAGCAAAAGCUACAAAAAUAUAAAAUAUUUUAUUAGUAUUAUACAAAGAAAAUUGUGUACAAGAAAAAAAAACCCUACCAAAG